GUUAAGCGACUAAGCGUACACGGUGGAUGCCCUGGCAGUCAGAGGCGAUGAAGGACGUGCUAAUCUGCGAUAAGCGUCGGUAAGGUGAUAUGAACCGUUAUAACCGGCGAUUUCCGAAUGGGGAAACCCAGUGUGUUUCGACACACUAUCAUUAACUGAAUCCAUAGGUUAAUGAGGCGAACCGGGGGAACUGAAACAUCUAAGUACCCCGAGGAAAAGAAAUCAACCGAGAUUCCCCCAGUAGCGGCGAGCGAACGGGGAGCAGCCCAGAGCCUGAAUCAGUGUGUGUGUUAGUGGAAGCGUCUGGAAAGGCGCGCGAUACAGGGUGACAGCCCCGUACACAAAAAUGCACAUGCUGUGAGCUCGAUGAGUAGGGCGGGACACGUGGUAUCCUGUCUGAAUAUGGGGGGACCAUCCUCCAAGGCUAAAUACUCCUGACUGACCGAUAGUGAACCAGUACCGUGAGGGAAAGGCGAAAAGAACCCCGGCGAGGGGAGUGAAAAAGAACCUGAAACCGUGUACGUACAAGCAGUGGGAGCACGCUUAGGCGUGUGACUGCGUACCUUUUGUAUAAUGGGUCAGCGACUUAUAUUCUGUAGCAAGGUUAACCGAAUAGGGGAGCCGAAGGGAAACCGAGUCUUAACUGGGCGUUAAGUUGCAGGGUAUAGACCCGAAACCCGGUGAUCUAGCCAUGGGCAGGUUGAAGGUUGGGUAACACUAACUGGAGGACCGAACCGACUAAUGUUGAAAAAUUAGCGGAUGACUUGUGGCUGGGGGUGAAAGGCCAAUCAAACCGGGAGAUAGCUGGUUCUCCCCGAAAGCUAUUUAGGUAGCGCCUCGUGAAUUCAUCUCCGGGGGUAGAGCACU
rnacentral:rRNA from 1 species